rnacentral:sRNA from 1 species
CGGUUUCAAUCUGCUGGGGACAGAUGAAAUGAAUAUGGGUAUCGAUGCCCCCCGCGGUCAGGAUCAUCCCCUCCCCCGCCAGCACUUCCGUACCGGGGCCAAUAAUAAUAUCUACAUUGUCCUGGAUAUAAGGAUUGCCCGCUUUACCAAUCCGUUCAAUUCGCCCCUCCUUAAUCCCGACAUCAGCUUUGACAAUUCCCCACCAGUCCAGGAUCAGGGCAUUGGUAAUCACCAGAUCCACCGCCCCAUCUUUGUUUGUAAUGGGUGACUGUCCCAUGCCAUCCCG